rnacentral:sRNA from 1 species
AUCGCGGCGACGUGGGCGUCCUGCUGCCGGCGACGUCGCGAGAAGUCCACUGAACCUUAUCAUUUAGAGGAAGGAGAAGUCGUAACAAGGUUUCCGUAGGUGAACCUGCGGAAGGAUCAUUGUCGAAACCUGCAAGGCAGAACGACCCGCGGACCGUUUAUAACUACUCAUCCGAGCGGCGGCGCCUCCGUGCCCGUCGCUCGUCGCCCCAGGGCUAGUAGGGUCGUCUUGGGCCGAGCCCACGCCCGCUAUCCUUGGGCGCACACAACAAACCCCGGCGCAGAUCGCGCCAAGGAACAAGAAAGAAAGAAAGACGUGCUCCCACGGUCCCGGAUACGGUGCACCGCGGGCAGCGUCGUCGACGUACUAUUCAAACGACUCUCGGCAACGGAUAUCUCGGCUCUCGCAUCGAUGAAGAACGUAGCGAAAUGCGAUACUUGGUGUGAAUUGCAGAAUCCCGUGAACCAUCGAGUUUUUGAACGCAAGUUGCGCCCGAAGCCGUCUCGGCGGUGGAGGGCACGUCUGCCUGGGUGUCAAGAAACGUCGCCAACGUCCCUCUCCGCACCCUCCCGCCCGAGGGGGGAAGCAUCGAGGGGGCGGGCGGAUAUUGGCCUCCCGUGCGCGGUUGCUCGCGGUUGGCCCAAAAGAGAGUGCCCCGGCGAGGCAGCCACGACGUUCGGUGGCAGAAAGCGUAUGCUCUCCUCGAACACCGUCGUGGGCCGGCCUCGUGGGGCGGGAAAGAGUUAAGGCCCCGAUGCGAAGUCGUGUUUCGCGAAGCGACCCCAGGUCAGGCGGGAGCACCCGCUGAGUUUAAGCAUAUCAAUAAGCGGAGGAAAAGAAACUUACGA